CCAACGGCCCUCUUUAGGGCCACAUUUAUAUGAAUACGGCAUUUGU
rfam:Heterorhabditis bacteriophora unplaced genomic scaffold Scaffold377, whole genome shotgun sequence.